rnacentral:rRNA from 1 species
GACGAACGCUGGCGGCGUGCUUAACACAUGCAAGUCGAACGGAAAGGCCCUGCUUUUGUGGGGUGCUCGAGUGGCGAGCGGGUGAGUAACACAUGAGUAACCUGCCCUUGACUUUGGGAUAUCUUCAGGAGACUGGGGCUAAUACCGGAUAGGAGCUCCUGCUGCAUGGUGGGGGUUGGAAAGUUUCGGCGGUUGUGGAUCGACUCGCGGCUUAUCAGCUUGUUGGUGGGGUAGUGGCUUACGAAGGUUUUGACGGGUAGCCGGCCUGGGAGGGUGGACGGGCACAAGGGUACUGAGGGAGGGAGCAGACGCGUACGGGAGGCAGUAGUGGGGAAUAUGGCACAGUGGGCGGAAGCCUGAUGCAGCAGCGCUGCGAGCGGGAUGACGGCCUUCGGGUUGUAAACCGCUUUCGCCUGUGACGAAGCGGGAGUGACGGUAAUGGGUAAAGAAGCACCGGCUAACUACGUG